GACAGAGGAGCCAAGCGUUGUCCGGAUUGACUGGCGUAAAGCGCACGCAGGCGGUGUGGCGCGUGGGGUGUGAAAGCGGCAGGCUUAACUUGCCGAGGCCAUCCCAUACGGCCGGACUCGAGCCCCGCAGAGGUCCAUGGAAUUGCCGGUGUAGUGGUGAAAUGCGCAGAUAUCGGGAGGAACACCAGUGGCGAAGGCGGGUCUCUGGGCCGAUACUGACGCUGAGGAGCGAAAGCGUGGGGAGCGAACGAG
rnacentral:rRNA from 1 species